rnacentral:rRNA from 1 species
UACGGAGGGGGCUAGCGUUGUUCGGAAUUACUGGGCGUAAAGCGCACGUAGGCGGCUUUGUAAGUUAGAGGUGAAAGCCCGGGGCUCAACUCCGGAAUUGCCUUUAAGACUGCAUCGCUAGAAUUGUGGAGAGGUAAGUGGAAUUCCGAGUGUAGAGGUGAAAUUCGUAGAUAUUCGGAAGAACACCAAUGGCGAAGGCGACUUACUGGACACAUAUUGACGCUGAGGUGCGAAAGCGUGGGGAGCAAACAGGAUUAGAAACCCUUG